rnacentral:lncRNA from 1 species
CCAAUUAACUGAUUUCUUUCAAUUUAAUUCCCUUAAUUUCUUGAUUUGAAAAGAUAACAUGAAGUGUUUCUACUGCACAUUCAUGUGCACAUUUUAAAACUAUUAGAGUUUCCUCCUAAGUUAAAAGGUUUUCUCAGUGUUUUCAGCUUUUUUCCAGUUGUUUGAACACAACUCAUUAAAAAGAGGGCAGCAUUCCAUAUUUCAGUGACUCCUUGGGGAUAUAUACAGAUAGCAUUUCUUUGGUAUUGUUAUAAGCCAAAGGCCUGUUGAAGGACCUGUAAUGAAGAAUAUUCAUGCUCACAGAGGCUGUUGAUGUCACUGACUGGCACGCAAAGUGGUGUAAAGAAACUGUAUAAAAGGCGGCUCCCUGCUGAAAGAGGCACCAGUCAAGAGAAGUGGUACCAUGUCUUUCUCACUUGUAACCCUCCUCACCUUCCUGGUUGCCUGUUGGUGUUCAGGAUGUCAAGGACAAAUGAUGAGCAUGGCUCCUAUGGGUAGCAACCUGAUGCUGUCCUGCCCUCGAGGACAGGAGAUCAACAUCGUGUCAAUGGUUUACAGCAACAAGGGGUUUGAGAAUAAUGCUCAGGACUUCUGCAGCAGCAUUGCACCUCCAAGCUGUUUACAUCCCAUGUUAAUGCCGUUGUCAAAGUCUAUCUGUGAUGACCUGCAGGAGUGCAGGUUAGCUAAAUCACAAAAAAGAAUGUUGAUCUGCGAUCUCGACACCUUCACCGCCGUUUCAGCCUUCUACACUUGUGAGAACAAGUUUCCAGAUAAACGUACUGUCAUUGCCUGCAAGGAUCAGAGUGCCGACUUAAAGUGUGAAAAGGGUGUUAUUCGCAUCAUCAAGUCCAAUUACGGACGCCUCGACCAGAACACCUGCACAGACAAGCCUUCUGAUUACACCUUUUGUACAGCUGGAGGCUUUGGAGAAGAUGUGAAAAGCAUGUGCAACGGUAGAAAAGAGUGUUCAAUUCCAGGCAAUCCUAAAGGGAGGAUAGUGUUUUCAUACUGUGAUCAAUCCCCCAAGUAUGUGUACGUGUCCUACGUCUGUGAAGCAUAGGAUAAGUACACAAUGAACACCAACAGUUGGUGUACAGGUGACCUGAAGAUGGAGGAUUUCUCCUGCAUCUGAGGAACCUUGUUCCAAAUCUAAAAAGUAAAAAACCCAAUUAAUAAAAGAGAGGAACUAUCAUCUGGGCCUGUGUCUUCUGUCAACAUUUCAUGACCAAUUGAGAAUAUAUAUACACUCCAAACAGAACAGAUCUCUCUACAAAAAUACAUUUUUAUUUAAGACAUCGAUUUACACCUACAAAGAACUAGAAAAGAAAUUCCUGCUUAUUUCCAAUCUGGUGACACUGUGACAGAGGUCAAUCCACCCAAAGGACAGAAUACCCAGAAACACAACAACGUUGUGCUGCUGACCCGUGUCGCAAAGACCUGUCCAACACAAGAGAGGCAACUCUUUGGGACAGGACUUUGCUGUUCACCUGCACCUUAAAGUCAAAAGUCAGUCGUUCUGGGGCAGCAACCUAAAAGUUUAUUCUCUUGAAGACAGAUGAAGAAGCCAUAUUUGUUAGAACAGAACAACCAUCCACAAAGAGAGAGAUGUUUCUUCUAAAAUCAAAAAAAUUCAACGUCAGAAUUUUGUGAUUAUGAGGCUCGUAUUAUCGUCGCAAGCUCCACAUAAGUCCUGGUCCUCAGAUGAGGGAGGUCAGCGACGGUUGCAGAAAUCCAGCCACACAAAACAUACAUCUGUUCAAAUGAACCCCUAUUAAUCCUCACAUGUUCAGGAAGUACAUAUAAAACAGUUUACUGAUAUCAGCUAAUGUUUGAUGUUUUAGUUUAAACCAUUAACUAAGAGCUCGAAGGCUAGCUCAUACCAGGAAGAUGAGAACUCUGGCAAACAGAAAAAGGCAGGAACAAAUUGACCAGAAGAAUGAGCAGAUUAGUACAGAAACACAACAGGAACAGGCAGGGUCAAAACCUGCAAAUCAGUCCAAAGAAUAACGCUGGAGAAUCGGGCAUAAACACAUAAACUGGCAAGGCAAGAGUGCCAAGUAAGGAGUUUAAAUUACUGAGGUCCAAACAGCUGUCCCAGAUUGGGUUGAGGAGCAAAGGAAGACACAGCUGUGCAGAAUUGUGCUGAUUAGGAUGGAGCAAACUUACACGCUGAAGGUGUUCUGGCACCUCCCCGCCACCACAACACGUUCCAUGUUUUUGUCCACACUAGGGCUCAAACCGGGAAUCCUCCGCUUCUCAGCCCAGUCCCCCAACACUGUCUUUUCAAACUAUUCAUUGGAAAUAAAACAAACAAAGUAUUUGUUCUUGAGGGUAUGCAGUAGCAAAACAAUUGAACAUG